rnacentral:lncRNA from 1 species
AUUACUUUAAAGGGUGUCUCAUUUUGUAGUCGAAUCUCAUUCCCUGGAUGAACGAGACUGUCUGAAUCAGUGGAUGAGAUCUGAAAGCAGGUUGGUGAAAGUGACUCAUAUAGCCAAUUGACGGGCGAGUGAAGAGUUAACAGGACUGAAGUUUGUCAAUUGAUAUGCAGAAGAACUGAUAGCACAAGAGCU